rnacentral:rRNA from 1 species
UACGGGGGAUGCAAGCGUUAUCCGGAAUCAUUGGGCGUAAAGCGCCUGUAGGUUGUUUACUAAGUCUGUUGUUAAAGACUAGGGCUUAACCCUAGAAAAGCAAUGGAAACUAAUAGACUAGAGUAUGGCAGGGGUAGAGGGAAUUUCUAGUGUAGCGGUGAAAUGCGUAGAUAUUAGGAAGAACACCGGUGGCGAAGGCGCUCUACUGGAUCAUUACUGACACUCAGAGGCGAAAGCUAGGGUAGCAAAAGGGAUUAGAUACCCCUGUAGUCCUAGCCGUAAACGAUGGAUACUAGAUGUUGCGUUUUUUGUGCAGUAUCGUAGCUAACGCGUUAAGUAUCCCGCCUGGGGAGUACGCUCGCAAGGGUG